ACAUGCUGAGGAGUUCUAUACUAGGACGAAACGGCCGUCCAAUAU
rnacentral:hammerhead_ribozyme from 1 species